rnacentral:sRNA from 1 species
GCUGGGCAGGGUGGUGCACACCUGUAAUCCCAGCUGCUUGGGAGGCUGAGGCAGGAGGAUCACAAGUUCAAGGCUAGCCUUGGCAACUUAGUAAGACCCUGUCCCAA